rnacentral:lncRNA from 1 species
CAAGCUUCACCUGCUGUAAAUAGAAGGCGUUGUGCAUCACUCUUUUGCUAUAGAGAAGAAGAGGCUUUCUGUUCAUUGCUCUCAUUACAGAAAAAUAAAAGUUUGGAUAUUUACACAAGGUGCUGAUACACUGGUGGUCUGGAGAUAUCUUGUGGCAGUCUGACCUCGGCUUCAAGCUUGAGGGAUAGUGACCAGUCUGCUACCUCUCCUGUGUAAGAAUGUGUAAUUUACAGUUAAAAAGAAGUAAAUGAAAGAAUCUACUGUUAUUGAUCCAGUAUAGCCUGUUAUGUAGUAUAUCAUCAAAUGUGUAAACUCGUUUUUUUUUUGUCUACAAAUUUAAAAAUGUCCUCGUGUUCCCAAUAGACUAGCUUCGAUAAGUUAUUUCCGCAUGUUUUGCGGUUUCUUGGUUUUUGGUUCCUGAAGUUUCUGCUAGCUGUGCUAUAACAGAAAACGCAGGCUUUGAGCAAGCAAAGGUAACUUAAUAGGAUUUUUGAAAGAUCAGUUUAUGCUUAUGUAACCCGUGUCAGCGGUUAUAAGCUUUUUACAUCUCUGAGAUUCUCGCCACGUCUUUUUACUUGUUAAUGCCUUCACGUUCUUCCAUUUCAUUUCCAUAUUGGAUCUUGUCGCUAGCAUGAAAUAGACCAUGAGUCAGUCUAUGUGUUGUUCUGUGAACUCUGGUUACUUUAAGGAUUAGUCCAAAUGUAAUUUUAAACAAAUUAUCGUUAAACUAUUCCCGAAUACCAUUUCAGGGAAAGUAGUCUAAACAAAUGUAAUUAAAUUAAUAAUAUAUGCUGUGCCUUGGUUGGAGGAAUUAUGAUUUUCUUUACCAACAUCAUUGCUCAACAUAAAUUAAAGUAGACUAAAAUAAUAAUGCUUACUAGAUCUCGAUCCGCGCAACCGCGCGAGUUUUUGUUUUCAUUUAUUUUUAUAUAAAUAUUUUGUUUUCAAUUCUAAAUUAGUAUAUAUUAUAAUAUAUAUAUGUCUAUCAAUUUUUAAAACAUAAUAAGUUUACGGUAUAUUUUUUCAUUGAAUAGAUUGUUUCAAAUUUUCACAUGUAUUUGUAUCUUCUUCUAUAUAUAUAUUUUCGGAUUAUUAUUUCAUUAUUAAAAUCGUAACUAUAUAUAAAGAUUAGUAAAAUAUUUUUUUAUUGUCAUAUUCAAAAAUAUUGUAACAUUUCAAAAAUUUAGAAAGUUUUUAAAAAAUUAAAAUUUUCGCUCCAUAGAUUUAUAUUAUCGAGUAAAUAAUUAAAUAUUUAGUUUUUGUUUAAUUUUUAAAAUAAACUAUAUAGUUUAAAAUUGUUUUCAUUGGUUUAAGGUAGUAAAGAUUAAUCAUUGUUAGAUAAUAUAAUUUUUGUUAUUUAAAAAAAAUCUUUAUAAUUUUAAAAGUUAACAUCGACAAAUAUUUAAAUAAUUAAUAAAUGGAAGUAUAAUAUUACAACAUUAAAUUAUAUCUAUUUAAUUUAUACUAUAUAUAAAUCCAAUGGAUCAUCUAUUGUUUAAAUCCAAUUAUUGAUAGCCCAAUAAAAAUUUCUGGUAGUCCAAAAUUUAAAUGAUAAGAUUAGAGAUUAAAUGUAACAUGAUUUUCUAGGAAUAGGUCCAUUAAUUUUAUUUUAAAAAAAAUCACACAUCUGUUUUAAUAUAUAAGAUUUAAAAAGCGGUCCGAGUACUGAUGAUACAUAAUUAGCUUUAUUUUCAAAAAUCUAAGCAAAAGCUCUUUGAAUAUAUGAUGUUAUGUAAAUAUUAUACGUAUAGCAGCUCUUUCUAUGUUUACACAAAUAGUUUUGUGUGUGACUAAGGUUAUGAAUGAUGAACAGGGAACGACGAAGAAUAAUGCAUUCCCUAACGUUCCUAAAAAAAAAUACUAUUCACAAGAAAUAAUAAUUCUCUCUUAUCCCCUUUCAUUCUUUUUUUUGUAGAGAAUUAAAGAACAAAAUUAUUCUUUGUUAAAUUUGAUAAAUAACAACCAUUCUUUAAUGUAUCUUUUGUUUUCAGGAUGGCCAGUCUAGUAGACUCCAUUUGCUAAGAAACAUCUGAUAAAAGUAAUAACCUAAUCGUUGACGUGACGAAAAAGUUUUGAAAACCCUAAUUAAAUAUAUACCUGGAAGUUAUAACUACUAGACAUUUACAAUUUCGAUUACACAUGACCAAUAAAGAAGUAGCAUGUAGGUACUAUUUAGCCAAACUAAAAAGAUUGUGAAUAGAUUUGUUUCUUUUAGAAGAAGCAACUUUCUUCUUGUAUCCAUGCAGAGCGUAAACUGCACUUUGGCAAAAGAGAAAUAAUUUUAUCUAUUCUAAUACGACUCUAGUUAGCUCGAGAUAUACGUUUUUUGAAUUUCUCAUAACUAAAAUAUAUUUGAAGGAUUUUGCUUUUAAAAAAGAGAGAGACAUUAUGGUUUAUGGACCAGCGCAGCAUUUUAUAACGACUCAAUCAGAAUCAUCACAAAUUAACAAUUUGAAGAAUUUAAAUAGUCUGUUUUUAUAUACUUAAGUUUAAUCGUCCCGACCAACAAAGGGGGAGCAAAUUGGUGCCAUAAUAAUAGUAAAAUAGCGGAAAAGGUGGUGAUUUGUUCCCACAUUCUUCUGCGCAUGUUUCCUCAAUCUCUGAGUUUGAAACGGUCUUCCACUCUUGACUUUUAAAUUGAAUGUGUUUACUCAAUAUUCAUGUUCCUUUUUCUGAACGUUUGGUGUAUAUCUGCUUACUCUGAUAUAGUUUGAUUUGUUCCCUUGAUUAAGAAGGCUGAACUAAAUCACCAACUAAACUUCCAGAAUUGACUUUAAUGCAAAAUAGUUUCCCUCAAUCAACAAUAUUAACUUUCCAUAAAACAGUAAAAAUACAAUAUUACCCACUAGAAUAUGUGAUAUUAGAUAAUANNNNNNNNNNNNNNNNNNNNNNNNNNNNNNNNNNNNNNNNNNNNNNNNNNNNNNNNNNNNNNNNNNNNNNNNNNNNNNNNNNNNNNNNNNNNNNNNNNNNUCGGAAGAUAAACUGAAUUGGUGAGAUUGAUUGAAGAUUUAAUAAAAAAGCAAAGAACUGGAGAAUUCUGGAAAGUCGAAGAACCGACUAAAAGAUCAACUAAUGGGCCUGAUGGGUACUUGGCCCAAACUUUGUUUAAACUUACAUUGGCUCGCGCUGGUUAUAAACCUUGACGCCAACACAAAUAAAAAGUGUAAAUGUGUGUAAUAAAAACAUUAAUGACUUAUGUUUUCGUUAUUCGGGUCAUAAUUAUGUGUUUAAACAUAGAUACAAACUUACAAUAACGUUGAGAAAACAAUACAAGUAGAGCUUUUGGUGUUUCACCCAAACCAUAUAUAUAAGAAGAUUAAUUUUGUUCUACGUUCUAUUAACCUUUCACUAAAAAACAUUGUUGACCGUAUAGCUUUUCUUUUUUUUUUUAAUAAAACUUUUCUUUCUCAAAGAAGAAUAAGACGAGAGAGUAGCAAGCUUCGGUCUCUCUCCUCUCUGUUCUCUCUCUAUCCAUCUUUCACAGAGAUGAGAUGAGACGAAGCUUUCACCGGAUCUAGUCCGGUCUAUGACUCCCGAUGGUUCGGGCUUUUGACUCUGGGAAGCGGUGGUUCACUCAACACCGUCUUCGCCGGCUUUUCUUCUUGCUUCUCAUCGUCUUUUGACGGUGUCGUGGGCAAGUUUGGUCCCAGUUCUUUUCUGGUACCUCGUUUUGUUCUCCUGCUUGACCUCCGCUUCUUUUCGCUUUCUCUGGAUUAGACUGACUCUCGAUCUGACACUCGGAUUGUUCUCUCCUCCCCUCAGAUAGGCAGUUGCAUCUUCGCGCUUCUACUGAUCUUAAAAGAUGUCUGGGUUUCAUGUCAAGGUGAAUCUGAUUCUCUAGAUCGAUUGAGGCUAUUGAUCCUAUCUUUAUUGAAGCGUUGGUCUGUUCUUCCGUCGGCUUUGUCCUUUUCAUUACGGUUGCUCUUCGUUGAGCUUUCUCCUCUCAUCGGAUUGACAUGUUUGUUUUCCGGUGUCGGAGCUCCGAUGAAGACCUCGUCGUCGGCGUUGAAACGGUUGAUUGAUUGACAGGGGGACUCAUCAGGCACGUGUUCAUCUUCCACCUUGUGCCCUACACGUGUGUUGAGUUGCUCUCGUGUCGUCUUCCCCGAUAAGGCUGUUGUUGCCUUCAAACCUUUGGACCUUUCGUUGUGGGCCUCUCUUUUCUUUUUGUGUCUGGGCCAACUGUUCACUUUUAGUUGUGCCUCAUUUUCUAUGUUAGUAUUGUCUAUCUUUUGGGCCUUAUGUGUAAAUUAUGAUCUUGUUUAAUAAAAUAUCAGUUGUCAAAAAAAAAAGAAUAAGACGAGAGAUUGAUCUUUGCUCUUUCUACUUUUUUUCCUACGCUAGAGAGGCCUGUCCUAAACAGAAUUUCCAACCGACAACUUCUCGCAGACAUCAGGUGUUCCACGCGAUACGAUCGGUUUGUACAACUCUUAUCUCUUUGCUUGCUAUCUGCAUGGAAUCUUCCUCAGUUCUACGAUUCUUCCAGUUUCUUCGAUUUAUGAUAUAUUUGAUUGAUGUUUCUUAAUGAGUUUCAACCUGUGAAAUAUGAAAUCAUGUCUUUUUUUUUUUUACUCUCAGUUUUGGCUUCCUUAAGGGAUAUACUCAAUUUGUUUAAAAAAAAAUCCAAUUUUAUUUGAUUUAUGUUGCUGUGGAGCUCAAUUGUCUGCAAAAGUUUCUGUCUUUCUGAUGCAAAUAAUCAACUGUAUAUUUUCUUUGAACUCUACCAAGUUGAUUCUGUGAUUUAUUGUUUGGCCACUCGGCUUAUGUUACUGAUGAGAGAUCAUGUUGCUUCUGCAGAUGGAGGAAUCAUGCUAAUAUGAUUAAACUGAGAUUACGGGGAUUAAUUUGAAGUGGGGAAGCUGUUGUUUGUUCAUAAUGGGGAUAAACUACUUGUCCGUCUCCGUGGCAUCAACAGCUCUGAGCUUUGUUGGGCUUCAAGUCUUGACGGAGUUGUCUCUUGAUAAACUUCUGGGAAAUGGGAUGAUAGCCAAGAAAAGCAUUUCUUUAGCAGACUCUGAGCAUUCCCUUGACCUGCUUCUCGCUUCUUACUUUACCAUCGCCCUCCUCGCAAUUUUUGUGCUCAACUGCUGCUACUUUCUCUCAAGGUAAGCAAUGUUUUUUUCUAUUUGAAUGUCUUGUAUCAUGAAAUAAAUGCUCUUGGCUAUCAUCCUAUUCGCUAUAACUGCAGAGUCUUACUGAUUGUUUUUAAUUGUUUCUGGAUAUGUCUUUUUUUUUUUGACCUGUGGUAAUAAUGCCUUUUAAGCGUCUUUUUGCAGACUCUAUUUUUUGGAGAUUUAUUUAGCGUUGAAGCUAAAACGUUGGUGGUGCGACUUGCCAAUUACAUCAUUUACAAGGUAGCAGCUGUUCUUACUUCGAUUGAAAACCAAACUGCCACAUACAGUAGUAACCUACAUGUUGUGUGUCUGUAUGAGAUGAGAUCUUGGUGUUUUUUCAUUACUUGAAUAUCUGAACUGCUGCAGGAAAAAAAAAUAUAUUAAAUGUACUUAUAGUGGCAGAGUAACGAAAAUGAACAUAGAUUUGGAGGCCUAAGAGAGGUCUUUACUUAGACAGAUGAUUCCACUAUAUAGAUAUACUUGUCCAUUUACAUCUCUCUUUAGUGCUCCUGUAAUUUUGAGUUACAUUUUAAUUCCUGGCCUGGGUGUCAACAGAAUUAAAUCCCCUUUUAAUUAAUUCUCCUAGGGUAUAUUUCUGCCGCUGGUGAUUCCCCCAACAAUAUUUCAGGGUGUAUUGUGGACAGUUUGGCUGACUGUUCUAUGCACUUUAAAGGUAUAUAUGUUGACAGUUUGCAGGAAAUUUAGAAUGAUAUUUUAUUUUUUCUAGACACCACAGUCCUAAUGUGAAUCUUGUAAUGUCAUGUAGAUGUUUCAAGCUUUGGCUAGAGACCGGCUUGAACGAUUGAAUGCAUCUCCUUCUUCUACACCUCGGACCUACUUUCGUGCGUAUUCUGUGCUCUUCUUGGUUCUCUCUGUUGAUUUCUUGUGGUACUUCCUAAACCUUGUCAAAUAGAGUUAACUGCUUCAUUUUCUAUCUCGUUAGGAAUUUAAACUGGAAAACUCAUAUUUCAACUUUAGUUUCUCUCUGGGCUCCACAUAUACUUCAUGGCCAACGCUCUUGAGUAGACAUGAAUGAUAUUUUGAGUAAAAUGGUUUUUUUUUUUUUGUCAUAUCUUGCAGGAUAAAGCUUUCCCUUAUGACAUACAAAACAAUAGGUUCUUCUGUGUAUCUGUUUUUACUUUUUGAGCCAUGCAGUAUAGCUUUUGAGACCUUGCAGGUACUUAAAGCAAUAACACUUGUCUUCUUCGUCCUGCUUGGUCUUUUCCUUUUGAGGUCGUGGUCAAUAAAAAUACAGAGCUGAUCGGAUUAUCGUUUGCAGGCGCUGUUAAUUCAUGGGUUUCAGCUACUUGAUAUGUGGAUCAACCACUUAGCAGUGAAGAACUCGGACUGCCGAAAAUCUAAGUUUCUCGAUUCCAUGACAGCAGGUCUUUUAAUUUUCUGGUGUUGUGUCAUGUCUUUUCUUUUAACCUGUGAAUGAAUUUCCAUGGAUAUUCACUUUGGAUAGGCUCACUGUUGGAAUGGAAGGGCCUACUCAACCGAAACCUUGGUUUCUUCCUGGACAUGGCUACUUUGGUAAUGGCGCUAUGUCAUUUUCUGUACAUCUGGUGGCUGCAUGGUUUGGCCUUUCCUGUGGUGGAUGCAGUUUUGUUACUCUACGUACGUGUAAGUUUGUUUAACUAACUUUUUAUUGUCGCUCAGCUCUCCUGGUUACUUCAUACAGGGCACAACAUUCAGUUGUUGUAUCUUUUACCUGGCAGGCAUUGCUCAGUGUAAUUCUGAAACGAAUAAAAGGAUACAUUAAACUGAGAGUAGCUCUAGGAUCUCUCCAUGCAGCCCUGCCUGAUGCAACUUAUGAAGAGUUACGGGCGUAUGAUGAUGAAUGUGCUAUAUGCCGCGUAUGUUUUCUCCUAUAGAGUUAUUUUCAUACACCUUUUCAAUAGUCUUAAACUCUUGGAUACCUUUUGAACGUCAGGAACCUAUGGCUAAGGCUAAAAAGCUUCACUGCAACCACCUUUUCCAUCUUGGUUGCCUGAGAUCAUGGUGCGCUUAUCUAGAUACCGACAGCUUCAAGUAUUAUGACUGAAACUGCUGACUCUGAUGAUGCUUUGGUGCUGGCAGGUUGGAUCAAGGUUUGAAUGAGGUCUAUUCUUGUCCUACAUGUCGUAAGCCUCUUUUUGCUGGUAGAACUGAAACUGAGGUGAACCCUCGCACAGCGGAAGUCUCAAGUGAUGAGCAGUUAGCUCGUCAGCUUGAAAGGCAGAACAAUCCUGGACAUCCACUAGCUACUGGAUUGUUUCCCGCCGAUAUACCAAAUCCCAUUGAAAGUGAUCCUUCAAGGUUCGGCUCACUCUUCUUUAAUGAUUUUCUUAUUAACUAAAUCAAAGUAACAGUUUACUUUAUUUACUUAGUGAUCACCCUUUUCUUUCACUAAAUAGGGAAUUAGGAUUGGAUCCAAGCUGGCUGCAGACGUGGUCAGGCCAGGGCGUUGAUAUGGCUGGUCCCUCUAGUGCUUCUAGGUCCGUUGGACUGGGGAGGGUUCAGAUGAUGAUGAGGCAUCUUGCAUCUGUUGGAGAAAGUUAUGCGCAAAAUGCACUUGACGAUGCUGCAUGGAGUCUAUGGCCCAUGAGCCCUUCACAAGCAUGAUGUCAUGCCACAUAUGCCUGAUGAAAUUAUCUUCCCGGUAAAUUUUAAGUUGCAUAUUGUUCAGUUCUAAGUUUCUCACGAGUUAAUACUAGAACAUGUUACGUUUCAAUUUCUUGCAGGACUUGCAGAGAACAAACUCUGUUGCUGUGACAGUGAACAAUCUUCUCCAGAUGUGAAUGAUAGAUUUUGUGUAAAAAAUACUGAGCGCUUACUGCACUUCCAUUUCAACCUUAGGUUUAGAUUAAUGAUACUAGACAUCUCCUUGUCCUUAAGUUUACUCACCACCUAGCAUUCCAAGCUUCACCUGCUGUAAAUAGAAGGCGUUGGGCAUCACUCUUUUGCUAUAGAGAUCAAGAGGCUUUCUGUUCAUUGCUCUCUUGCAGAAAAAUAAAAGUUUGGAUAUUUACAGAAGGUGCUGGCUGAUACACUGGUGGUCUGGAGAUAUCUUGUGGCAGUCUGACCUCGGCUUCAAGCUCGAGGGAUAGUGACCAGUCUAUGCUGCUACCUCUCCUGUAUAAGAAUGUGUAAUUUACAGUUAAAAGGAAGUAAAUGAAAGAAUCUACUGUUAUUGAUC